rnacentral:rRNA from 1 species
GGGACACGUGGUAUCCUGUCUGAAUAUGGGGGGACCAUCCUCCAAGGCUAAAUACUCCUGACUGACCGAUAGUGAACCAGUACCGUGAGGGAAAGGCGAAAAGAACCCCGGCGAGGGGAGUGAAAAAGAACCUGAAACCGUGUACGUACAAGCAGUGGGAGCACCUUCGGGUGUGACUGCGUACCUUUUGUAUAAUGGGUCAGCGACUUAUAUUCUGUAGCAAGGUUAACCGUAUAGGGGAGCCGAAGGGAAACCGAGUCUUAACUGGGCGUUAAGUUGCAGGGUAUAGACCCGAAACCCGGUGAUCUAGCCAUGGGCAGGUUGAAGGUUGGGUAACACUAACUGGAGGACCGAACCGACUAAUGUUGAAAAAUUAGCGGAUGACCUGUGGCUGGGGGUGAAAGGCCAAUCAAACCGGGAGAUAGCUGGUUCUCCCCGAAAGCUAUUUAGGUAGCGCCUCGUGAACUCAUCUUCGGGGGUAGAGCACUGUUUCGGCUAGGGGGCCAUCCCGGCUUACCAACCCGAUGCAAACUACGAAUACCGAAGAAUGUUAUCACGGGAGACACACGGCGGGUGCUAACGUCCGUCGUGAAGAGGGAAACAACCCAGACCGCCAGCUAAGGUCCCAAAGUCAUGGUUAAGUGGGAAACGAUGUGGGAAGGCACAGACAGCCAGGAUGUUGGCUUAGAAGCAGCCAUCAUUUAAAGAAAGCGUAAUAGCUCACUGGUCGAGUCGGCCUGCGCGGAAGAUGUAACGGGGCUAAACCAUGCACCGAAGCUGCGGCAGCGACACUAUGUGUUGUUGGGUAGGGGAGCGUUCUGUAAGCCGUUGAAGGUGUGCUGUGAGGCAUGCUGGAGGUAUCAGAAGUGCGAAUGCUGACAUAAGUAACGAUAAAGCGGGUGAAAAGCCCGCUCGCCGGAAGACCAAGGGUUCCUGUCCAACGUUAAUCGGGGCAGGGUGAGUCGACCCCUAAGGCGAGGCCGAAAGGCGUAGUCGAUGGGAAACAGGUUAAUAUUCCUGUACUUGGUGUUACUGCGAAGGGGGGACGGAGAAGGCUAUGUCAGCCGGGCGACGGUUGUCCCGGUUUAAGCAUGUAGGCGGAGGU